rnacentral:rRNA from 1 species
AGUGAACGCUGGCGGUAGGCCUAACACAUGCAAGUCGAACGGCAGCACAGUAAGAGCUUGCUCUUACGGGUGGCGAGUGGCGGACGGGUGAGGAAUACAUCGGAAUCUACUUUUUCGUGGGGGAUAACGUAGGGAAACUUACGCUAAUACCGCAUACGACCUACGGGUGAAAGCAGGGGAUCUUCGGACCUUGCGCGAUUGAAUGAGCCGAGGUCGGAUUAGCUAGUUGGCGGGGUAAAGGCCCACCAAGGCGACGAUCCGUAGCUGGUCUGAGAGGAUGAUCAGCAACACGGGAACUGAGACACGGUCCAGACUCCUACGGGAGGCAGCAGUGGGGAAUAUUGGACAAUGGGCGCAAGCCUGAUCCAGCCAUACCGCGUGGGUGAAGAAGGCCUGCGGGUUGUAAAGCCCUUUUGUUGGGAAAGAAAAGCAGCAGGUUAAUACCCCGCUGUUCUGACGGUACCCAAAGAAUAAGCACCGGCUAACUGCGG